CCUACGGGUGGCAGCAGUGGGGAAUAUUGCACAAUGGGGGAAACCCUGAAGCAGCGAAGUCGCGUGAGUGAAGAAGUAUUUCGGUAUGUAAAGCUUUAUCAGCAGGGAAGAAGAAAGACGGAACCUUACCAAGAAGCACCGGCUACCUACGUGCCAGCCGCCGCGGUAAUACGUAGGGGGCAAGCGUUAUCCGGAUUUACGGGGUGUAAAGGGAGCGUAGACGGGUGGUCAAGUCUGAAGUGAAAGCCCAGGGCUCAACCGUGGGACUGCUUUGGAAACUGUGGAGCUAGAGUGCUGGAGAGGUAAGUGGAAUUCCUAGUGUAGCGGUGAAAUGCGUAGAUAUCAGGAGGAACACCAGUGGCGAAGGCGGCUUACUAGACAGUAACUGACGUUGAGGCUCGAAAGCGUGGGGAGCAAACAGGAUUAGAUACCCCUGUAGUC
rnacentral:rRNA from 1 species